AUUGAACGCUGGCGGCAUGCCUUACACAUGCAAGUCGAACGGCAGCGGGGGAGAAGCUUGCUUUUCCUGCCGGCGAGUGGCGAACGGGUGAGUAAUACAUCGGAACGUGCCCUGUAGUGGGGGAUAACUAGUCGAAAGAUUAGCUAAUACCGCAUACGACCUGAGGGUGAAAGUGGGGGACCGCAAGGCCUCAUGCUAUAGGAGCGGCCGAUGUCUGAUUAGCUAGUUGGUGGGGUAAAGGCCUACCAAGGCGACGAUCAGUAGCUGGUCUGAGAGGACGAUCAGCCACACUGGGACUGGGACACGGCCCAGACUCCUACGGGAGGCAGCAGUGGGGAAUUUUGGACAAUGGGCGAAAGCCUGAUCCAGCAAUGCCGCGUGUGUGAAGAAGGCCUUCGGGUUGUAAAGCACUUUUGUCCGGAAAGAAAUGGCUCUGGUCAAUACCUGGGGUCGAUGACGGUACCGGAAGAAUAAGGACCGGCUAACUACGUGCCAGCCGCCGCCGUAA
rnacentral:rRNA from 1 species